AACCCGCCUGCAUGAAGUCGGAAUUGCUAGUAAUCGCGGAUCAGCAUGCCGCGGUGAAUACGUUCCCGGGUGUUGUACACACCGCCCGUCAAGCCAUGAGAGUCGCGAACACCCGAAGCCGAUAGUCUAACGAAAGAGGACGUCGUCGAAGGUGGGAUUGAUGACUGGGGUGAAGUCGUAACAAGGUACC
rnacentral:rRNA from 1 species